GGGGAGCUCUCCGGCUUUUGGUUUUUCUGGAUCCCUAAGAUACUGGGGAUACUAGAGAGAUAUCUCGUUCCGGUUUGUAACCCCACGCACUUCCACCAGCACUUCGGACGCCGCAGCCGGUUGGGUACGUAGUAUCUGUCGGCCAUGAGGUCGGACAAUGGCAGGUGGCCGGCGAAACUCUUAACGAUUUUCGUCGGUCGUUAGCCGGUUCCGUCCGUGGCGCGACGCCCGACCGAGGCAAAAAUUGGCCUUCCCCUCCUAUGUCUCAAAGCACAGAAGAGCGGGCCGGCAGACAGGUGCACUGCUGCGAUGUUCGCUUUCAGUCUUUCGCACUGGGCGGCUCGCAGUUUAUCACCGCUAGUCUACACGGUCCCGCGAGGGAUAUGGUUGGCUGGCGGCGAGUAGGUCGGUCACCCACCCGACCCGUCUUGAAACACGGACCAAGGAGUCUAACAUGUGCGCGAGUCAAGGGGUCUUGAUCAGGCCCAGAGGCGCAAUGAAAGUGUUCAGAGUCGGGAUUCCUAGGACUUUUUAAUGAAGUCCGACGGAAGCACCGACGACCCGCCCCGUUCUAUAUCUUAGAUGGGGCGGAGUCAGAGCACACACGUUGGGACCCGAAAGAUGGUGAACUAUGCCUGGGCAGGACGAAGCCAGAGGAAACUCUGGUGGAGGUCCGCAGCA
rnacentral:rRNA from 1 species